rnacentral:rRNA from 1 species
GACUCUCGGCAACGGAUAUCUUGGCUCCCGCAACGAUGAAGAACGUAGCGAAAUGCGAUACUUGGUGUGAAUUGCAGAAUCCCGUGAAUCAUCGAGUUUUUGAACGCAAGUUGCGCCCG